AUGUACCACGCGUACACUCCGGUUCCUCCGCGCCGUCCACACCUACCGGUCGGAUGACUGUC
rnacentral:sRNA from 2 species